GUCGUGCAGCUGCAGGUUGUCAUAGCGACAGUCAAGAUGGCAGCUAUGGCGGCUGGAGACGAGCACGCUGCUGCCUCUGAAGUUUUGAAAGGACUCGCCCGGCAUUUAAACUGUCUGAACGAAGACAACAAGGCGACGAGGAAGCGGGCUCUGGAGCUGAUCCGGAGGGAGACGGUGGAGAAAGGACUCUGCAGCAGCGUCCUGCAGGAGGUCUUCUCUGCCCUCCUCAAGCCUCUCCUCAAGUGCCUGUCAGACCCGAUGGAAAGAUGCAGAGAAACCGCCAUAACGAUGAUAACAGAGUUCAUUCGUUGUGUCCCCAAGCCGGAGGAGUCGCUGCCUUAUCUAAUGCCCUGUCUGUCUCAGAGGCUCGGGGAGAAGGAGAUCCAGGAGCCCGCGGAGGAGCUGCGGCUGUCGGCCGUGGAGAUGCUGACUCUGACGGUGGAGGUGUGCGGGACACAUUUAGCGCCAUAUCUGACAGAAAUCAUCAACAUACUGAACAACACCAUCGUAGACCCUUUCCCAGAUGUCAGAAGAGAAAGCUGCAAGUGCACUGUGAUCUCUGCAAAGUGUUUGCCAGAGCACUUUCACAUGCAGGCUGAGACUCUGGUCAAGCCUCUCAUGCAGACGAUUGCUCAUCAACACUCCCGGGUACGAGUGUCCGUCAUCGAAGCCACCGGAGCGGUCAUUCAGCACGGCACGGGGAAGAACGUUGAUGACGUGCUCUCUCACCUGGCUCAGAGACUGUUUGACGACUCACCACAGGUGAGAAAAGCUGUGACAACGGUCGUUGGUGAUUGGCUACUUCACAUGAGAGACAGGUACUCUUAUUUCCACAAACUCAUCCCACUCCUGCUGAGCAACAUCAACGAUGAGAUCCCAGAAAUAAGACUUCUAGCAGCUGAUUUAUGGAAGCUAGUCGGCGCCCAGUGGGAGAAGGAGAAUGAGGACGAUAUCAAGGACAAGCUGGACUUUCUCCUCACCCCACCUCCCUUCUACCCACCAGGAGUGGAGCGUCCAGGCCUGGGCUGCAGGGAGCUGGUGGUGAGGAACCUUGGCAGGCUGGUGCCAGCUAUUGCAAACGACAUAACCGACUGGCUGGCACCCACACGCGUCAGGACCUCUCAGCUGCUCUCUGUGCUGCUGCUCCACGCCGAGGACCACAGCACCCAACAUCUGCAGCCUCUCCUGGCCACCCUGUACCGGGCCUGCACCGACACAGAGAGGGACGUGAUCAGCAACAGCCUGGCAGCUGCUAAACUCUUGGGGACCUUUGUCCCUCCUGCCGUCUUCCUCAAACUGCUGCUAAAGGAUGUGACAAGCCCCUACUCCUCCUCUCACCCCUGGACCCCCCUCAUGGUGCUGGCUGCGGUGCUGGGAGGCUGCCCCGAACCCCUCCUCAGACCACAUCUCCAACAGAUCGCCAACACAGUGGCCCAGCCCGACGUCUGCCAGGAUUAUCAACAGGUUUUGUAUUUGGAGCAGUUGUUGGCCUGCGUGGAUGUGCUGCUGCGUCAGUGUGAGUCAGACCACGGCUCGGUCAGCCUGCAGCUGCUGCAGGUGCUGGUCACUGUCCAGAGCCUCUCCACUGAGCCACAGCUCAGCCAAAAGGCCUUGGAGAGUGUACAGUUGCUGGGUAAGGUGCAGGGCCUGGACUCAGCCAUGGAGCUCUAUAGACGACAUAUGGGCCAGCUGCUGGACUGGCUGUCUGCCUCUGUCAACACCUGGACCAGUUACUCCCCACAGAGACUCCAACUGCAUAUCAUAGUCGUACAAUCAGGUCCAGUGAUUGGGGAGUUUGUGAGCCAGCUGAUGUCUCUGCUGUGCUGCUGCCUUCAGCCGGACAGAGACCCAGAGAUGAGGAUGAGCACCUUCACAAUGCUUGCUAAGUUGCUACUGGAUGCAGCCAACACACUGGAUUCCCAGGGUCAUUUCCGUGACCAGUCUGAGAAGUUCCUCUGUGACGUCUUACUUCCUAACCUGGUGUGGCGUGCAGGCCGAACCGCUGGUGCCGUCCGCACCUCGGCCCUCAGCUGUCUGCUGGCUCUGCUGCACGGAGGAACCGUCACAGCUGGACAGCUGUUGUGUCUGGAGGAGAAACUGAGUCCACAGGUGUUGUCGGCCCUGGAAGAGGACUCUCAGAUGGCCAGACUGCUGGCUUGUCGUUCCCUGUCCGCCAUCCUCAGACUCACAGGAACCAGUCUGCACCCUGAGGCCCUCAACAAGGUCUACCCCGAGUUGCUGAAGCGUCUGGACGACAGCAGUGAGGAUGUUCGCAGCGUGGCCCUGCAGGCUCUCGGGCUGUGGCUGUGCAGCCUGACCAAAGAAUACAACCCUGAGCUCUUUGCUGCUCAUCUGCAGCUCCUCUUCCAGCAGCUCCUCCUGCACCUGGAUGACCCCGACAGUUCGGUCCAGGACCAAGUGCUCGAGAUCCUGAAGAAAGGCAGCUCGCUCCACCCAGCGCUCCUGAAGAAGGAGGUGGAGGCAGUAAGGGACAAACAGCGGAGUCCUCUCUACUGCGACCAGCUGCUCCAGCACAUCAGCUCUCUGCACACAGACACCACAGCACAGUGUCCUGAGUGACAUAAAGUUUGUGCCUUCAUUUAAAAAAAACUUUCACUUUGAAUUGGUGAACAACCUACAGCAACGUGCUGAUAACACAAUGGAACAUUUUCACUUGUUCUCCUUAAAAUGAAUCUCUCACCCUCAUGUGGGUGGGUAGAUAUCUAAACUUUCCAACAUGCCUUUUAAUGCAGAAUGCCUCCUUCACCUUUUGCUUAAUGACAGUUCAUAUAUUCCUGUUAUUGUAUUCCUUUGGUUCUGAUAUGAAAUGAAAAGAACAUUUUGUUGCACUGUUGUGGUGUUUAAAUGUUAUACUGAUACAUUCAUACUAUCAUUUUGUGCAUCCAAACUGAACAUCCUGCCUCCAGAAGGAGUCUGAGAGAAGCAGGCUUCAAAAUAAAAGCUUUGUUUUUUUAAUAUUGAGAUGUGUAAAUACAAGUUGCAUUCAAAUAAAUAUAAAUC